GAGUUGGGUGAGCCCGCGUCUGACUAGCUAGUUGGUGGGGUAAUGUACUACCAAGGCCACGAUGACUAGCUGGUCUGACAGGAUGAUCAGCCGCACUGGGACUGAGACAAGGCUGAUACUCCUACCGGAGGCAGCGGUGCGGAAUAUAGGACAAUGGGCGCAAGCCUGAUCCAACCAUGCCGCGUGAGUGAUGGAGGCCCUAGGGUUGGAAAGCUCUUUCACCGGUGAAGAUAAUGACGGUAACCGUAGAAGAAGCCCCGGCUGACUUCGUGCCAACAGCCGCGGUAAUACCAAUGGGGCUAGCGUUGUUCAGAAUUACUGUGCGUAAAGCGCGCCUAGGCAGAUUGUUGAGUGAGGGAUGAAAUCCCAGUGCUCAACCCCGGAACUGCCUCUCAUACUGUCAAUCUCCAGUUCUAGAGAGGUGAGUGUAAUUCCGAGUGCAGAGGUGAGAUUCGUAGAUAUUCGGAGGAGCACAAGUGGCAAAAGCGGCUCACUGGCUCGAAACUGACGCUCAGGUGCGAAAGCGUGCGGAGCACACAGGAGUAGAUAC
rnacentral:rRNA from 1 species